CGCAGCCGCGGUAAUUCCAGCUCCAAUAGCGUAUAUUAAAGUUGUUGCAGUUAAAAAGCUCGUAGUUGAAUUUCGAGAUCAAAUCGUUGGUCGUGCCUCGGUACGUACUGGCAUUAUUGAUUUCUCCUUUCUGAAGAACCACGAUGUCAUUAAUUUGGUGUCGUGGGGAAUCAGGACUGUUAAUUUGAAAAAAAUUAGAGUGUUUAAAGCAGGCUCACGCUUGAAUACAUUAGCAUGGAAUAAUGAAAUAGGACGUUUGAUUCUAUUUUGUUGGUUUCUAGGAUCGACGUAAUGAUUAAUAGGGAUAGUUGGGGGCAUUAGUAUUCAAUUGUCAGAGGUGAAA
rnacentral:rRNA from 1 species